AAGGGAAUUGUGUUUGAGUGUAUGUGUGUGUUGUCACUAGAGAGAGCGAUAGAGAGGGAGAGAGUAGAGUGGUGUUUAGUCCGUACGUGGAAAAACAUAGUCGUGCAUGCACAGACUAGCGGGGAUUAUCUAUCUGUUCUAAAUCUGAUAGAGAAAUGCAGGCAUGAAUAGGAAGUGGAUCUGGAUGUGUAGUGUCCUAGUGCAAGCACAUGCCGGUGAUGGACUACAGACGCACAGACGCUAACCUGGCUUUCUCUGCAGAAGUGUCACCUUAAUCUAGACCACGUCCGCAGAAUGCUGAGUCCUAUUGUUCCCUAUACGAGCAGCCCGAGGAGCCGCUUUAACCCGACUCUUCGGCUCACCUCCUCUCCGCUUUAUCGGUGUGACAGCUACAUGAAAAGAGGGAGAGAAAUCAAACCGCCACACCAUACCGUCAAUUGGAGAUACAAACCUGAGGGAAAUCUGAGAGAGAUUCCUGGGGCCACGGAUACUCCUGUAGGGAUUUGGUGCAAAGAAUCUGUAAUCUACACUUCAAACACACUCCUAAAUCAGUCCCAGGCCAGCAGCCCACGAGUGCCCUAACUCUUGUUGCUCAGAGGCCCGCUGUCCAGCGGAUCCUUUUUGUUUUUGAAGAGCGAAAUGAAUACAGCCGGCACCUCUUCUUCACAAUGACCUCAUUUCUUUUCUGCCUUGCAAAAAAAUAAAUAAAAAAAUGCCAGGCCUACUGAAGCACUCUGAUUGCAUCUGUUAAGUCAUUAAAGCUCUGAAGCUCUGAGAGAAUGGGGUAUGCUGGGCUCUUCUGGAUGAGUGGCGCAUCUCACAAUCCUAAUGAGAGCGACCGAAGAUGAAUACGGCUCUGGAGGGGCCCUUGAGUAAACAGGCGGCACGCUGAAGUGUCUGUGUGAAUAAGGAUGGGGGUCAUUAGCGG
ensembl:lncRNA